UUGGAAGAUGGAUGCAGGGAUGGAAGGCUACGGUCGUACCCAAUUUGGAGGGAAUUACCUGCAAAUCCAAAACCCUAAGUUAAAAAGAAUAUUAAAAAAUGGAAUUCAUUUUGAUAGGUUCAAUGAUUGAAAUAGUGCAGUGGGUAAGGAAACGAGGAAAAGAAUAAACUAAGACAUUUGGUUUUCAUUCAUACCUUUCCCAAAUGGUGAAAGGAAGAUUAUCUACAACCUUAGAGGGGGAAGGGCUCAUGAUUGGAACACAUCUCUACUUACCCUACCAUUGGAUGAAACCAACACUUACAAGGAAAAGAUAAAACACCAUAAAGGAUAGCUACCUAAUAUUCUAAUAUCCUAACAAUCCUGCCCCUUAGAAAGAGCUUGCCCUCAAGCGUUGAAAUCCGAAAAGCGUUCAAUAAUGGCAUCGACAUCCUCCCAAGUAGCAUCAUGUUUAGGUAAACCUAACCAUUUAAUCAGCCAAUGCAUGACAACACGAUUCAUGCGCUUGAACAUGCCGCGCUGCAGAAUUGUUUCUGAUGUCCAAGCCACAAGUCCUUUGUCGGG
rnacentral:lncRNA from 1 species